UACAGCCAUAUCACGUUGAAACACUGGUUCUCGUACGAUCAUCGAAGCAACGUUGAGCCUGGUUAGUAUCUAGAUGGGUGACCGUCUGAGAAUACCUGAUGCUGCAA